AAACAACAAUCCUAAAAUUCAUAUGGAACUACAAAAGAUCCUGAAUAAAGAGAACAAAGCUGGAAGCAUCACAAUUAUCUGACUUCAAAAAUACUACAAAUCUGCAAUAACUUAAACAGCAUGAUCCCAGUAGAGAAGAGGGCAGCUUGCCUCAGAGGAUAAACAGGAAAUGAGGAGCUAUCUGGCACAUGUACAUUCAACCAGAAGAUAAGGAGCAAGAGGAGAAGGAGGGGAUUCCACUGAGAGGAAGCCUAUCUGUGACUACUCUUCCUCUAGAACAUGCAUAUUCCACGAUUUCCUUCUGAGCCAAGCACCUGAGAUGGAUGUGGCUUUUCAAGAUGUCAGUCAUCUGAUGACAAGACAUCACCAAGCAAGACUCCAUCCUUCAAAACCCAAUCCCUUGCCUUAUUCGGGUGGAACUUUCUCAAAUGUCUUUCCCCCCAAUAAAUACCAGGGUUCAGGGCAUUCUGGCCUUCUUGCCUGCCUUUUGCCUCCCUUGAUCUCUGUG